rnacentral:rRNA from 1 species
UUUUUUUAGAGAAAUUAAAGAUAAAUUCUGCCCUAUGAAGAUUAAAUGGCUGCAGUAUAAUGACUGUACAAAGGUAGCAUAAUAAUUAGUUUAUUAAUUGUAAACUGGAAUGAAGGAAUAAAUGAAAAACAAAUUUUAUUAAAAUUAUUAUUAAAAAUUUAUUUUUAAGUAAAAAAGCUUAAUUUAAUUAUAGGGACGAGAAGACCCUAUAGAACUAUAUUUUUUAAAAAUAAAAGUAUAAAAAGAAUUUAUAAUUAAUUAUUAUUAAAAUAUUUUAUUGGGGUGAUAAUUAAAUUUAAUAAACUUUAUUUUUUCAAAUCAUAAAUGAAUGUAAAAUUGAUCCAAAAAGAAUUGAUAAAAAGAAAAAGUUACCUUAGGGAUAACAGCGUAAUUUUAAUGGAAAGUUCAAAUUUAUAUUAAAGAUUGCGACCUCGAUGUUGAAUUAAGAUAAACCUUAGGAGCAGAUUUUUAAGGAAAUAGUCUGUUCGACUAAAAAUUCUUACA